rnacentral:tmRNA from 1 species
GGGGGCGACCUGGUUUCGACGUGGGUUGCGAAGCAGUGCAGUGCAUGCCAAGGCCCAGUUACCUUGUUAAUACAGCUGGAAAACGUAUAGUCGCAAACGACGAACGUUACGCUCUAGCCGCUUAAUACCGGCUGGACUCCGCACCGGUUCUCUCAUGGGCCGGGCUGGGCAACCAGCAGUGGAGCCAUAUACGUGAGAUCGUGCUGUAGCGGGUUACUUGCUGCAGUGUUAAAACCAAGGUAACUCGCUGCUUCCCAGCCUGUCGGCCGGCGUGGAAGCGGUUAGAUCAAAUGACCAGACUAAGCAUGUAGUACUGCCUGUAGAGGGCUUGCGGACGCGGGUUCGAUUCCCGCCGCCUCCACCA